rnacentral:rRNA from 1 species
CUUACCAGGUCAAGACAUGGGCGUGAUUGACAGGCUAAUGACUUUUCUCGAUUCCAUGGAUGGUGGUGCAUGGUCGCACUUAGUUGGUGCAGUGAUUUGUCAGGUUUAUUCCGGUAACGAACGAGACCUCGGCCUUGUAAAUAGCUAUGCUGCUUACAGGGACAUUGGCGGCUACGCCAAGGAAGCUCGAGGCAAUUGCAGAUCUGGAAUGCCCUUAGAUGUCCUGGGUCGCACGCGUGCUACAAUGACGCCACGAACGAGCUUGCGUGAUGAAAGUUACGCAUAAUCAGCAGUCGGCGUCUUAAGGGAUAGUCUCUUGUAACUGUGGGACUCCAACUAGGAAUGUCUCGUAAGCACAAGUCAACAUCUUGUGUUGAUUACGUCCCUGCUCUUUCUACACACCGCCCGUCGCUCCUACCGAUCGAGUGUUUAGGUGAAUAUGAUGGACGUAAGGAAGUCAAAUACACCUGAGCACUAGAGAAGAGAAGUCGAGCAUGUUU